rnacentral:rRNA from 1 species
AGUGAACGCUGGCGGUAGGCCUAACACAUGCAAGUCGAACGGCAGCACAGGAGAGCUUGCUCUCUGGGUGGCGAGUGGCGGACGGGUGAGGAAUGCAUCGGAAUCUACUCUUUCGUGGGGGAUAACGUAGGGAAACUUACGCUAAUACCGCAUACGACCUACGGGUGAAAGCCGGGGACCUUCGGGCCUGGCGCGAAAGAAUGAGCCGAUGCCCGAUUAGCUAGUUGGCGGGGUAAGAGCCCACCAAGGCGACGAUCGGUAGCUGGUCUGAGAGGAUGAUCAGCCACACUGGAACUGAGACACGGUCCAGACUCCUACGGGAGGCAGCAGUGGGGAAUAUUGGACAAUGGGCGCAAGCCUGAUCCAGCCAUACCGCGUGGGUGAAGAAGGCCUUCGGGUUGUAAAGCCCUUUUGUUGGGAAAGAAAAGCAGUCGGUUAAUACCCGAUUGUUCUGACGGUACCCAAAGAAUAAGCACCGGCUAAUUC